AGAGUUUGAUCCUGGCUCAGGACGAACGCUGGCGGCGUGCCUAAUACAUGCAAGUCGAACGCUUCUUUUUCCACCGGAGCUUGCUCCACCGGAAAAAGAAGAGUGGCGAACGGGUGAGUAACACGUGGGUAACCUGCCCAUCAGAAGGGGAUAACACUUGGAAACAGGUGCUAAUACCGUAUAACAAUCAAAACCGCAUGGUUUUGAUUUGAAAGGCGCUUUCGGGUGUCGCUGAUGGAUGGACCCGCGGUGCAUUAGCUAGUUGGUGAGGUAACGGCUCACCAAGGCCACGAUGCAUAGCCGACCUGAGAGGGUGAUCGGCCACAUUGGGACUGAGACACGGCCCAAACUCCUACGGGAGGCAGCAGUAGGGAAUCUUCGGCAAUGGACGAAAGUCUGACCGAGCAACGCCGCGUGAGUGAAGAAGGUUUUCGGAUCGUAAAACUCUGUUGUUAGAGAAGAACAAGGAUGAGAGUAACUGUUCAUCCCUUGACGGUAUCUAACCAGAAAGCCACGGCUAACUACGUGCCAGCAGCCGCGGUAAUACGUAGGUGGCAAGCGUUGUCCGGAUUUAUUGGGCGUAAAGCGAGCGCAGGCGGUUUCUUAAGUCUGAUGUGAAAGCCCCCGGCUCAACCGGGGAGGGUCAUUGGAAACUGGGAGACUUGAGUGCAGAAGAGGAGAGUGGAAUUCCAUGUGUAGCGGUGAAAUGCGUAGAUAUAUGGAGGAACACCAGUGGCGAAGGCGGCUCUCUGGUCUGUAACUGACGCUGAGGCUCGAAAGCGUGGGGAGCAAACAGGAUUAGAUACCCUGGUAGUCCACGCCGUAAACGAUGAGUGCUAAGUG
rnacentral:rRNA from 1 species